rnacentral:rRNA from 1 species
ACGCUCGACACCUACGGGAGGCAGCAGUGAGGAAUAUUGGUCAAUGGGCGCUAGCCUGAACCAGCCAAGUAGCGUGAAGGAUGAAGGCUCUAUGGGUCGUAAACUUCUUUUAUAUAAGAAUAAAGUGCAGUAUGUAUACUGUUUUGUAUGUAUUAUAUGAAUAGGGAUCGGCUAACUCCGUGCCUGCAGCCGCGGUAAUCUGAGCGGGCUGGCAAGGC